rnacentral:rRNA from 1 species
CCACCUUCGGGUGGGGAUUAGUGGCGAACGGGUGAGUAACACGUGGGCAAUCUGCCCUGCACUCUGGGACAAGCCCUGGAAACGGGGUCUAAUACCGGAUACUGACCCGCCUGGGCAUCCAGGCGGUUCGAAAGCUCCGGCGGUGCAGGAUGAGCCCGCGGCCUAUCAGCUUGUUGGUGAGGUAACGGCUCACCAAGGCGACGACGGGUAGCCGGCCUGAGAGGGCGACCGGCCACACUGGGACUGAGACACGGCCCAGACUCCUACGGGAGGCAGCAGUGGGGAAUAUUGCACAAUGGGCGCAAGCCUGAUGCAGCGACGCCGCGUGAGGGAUGACGGCCUUCGGGUUGUAAACCUCUUUCAGCAGGGAAGAAGCGCAAGUGACGGUACCUGCAGAAGAAGCGCCGGCUAACUACGUGCCAGCAGCCGCGGUAAUACGUAGGGCGCGAGCGUUGUCCGGAAUUAUUGGGCGUAAAGAGCUCGUAGGCGGCUUGUCGCGUCGGUUGUGAAAGCCCGGGGCUUAACCCCGGGUCUGCAGUCGAUACGGGCAGGCUAGAGUUCGGUAGGGGAGAUCGGAAUUCCUGGUGUAGCGGUGAAAUGCGCAGAUAUCAGGAGGAACACCGGUGGCGAAGGCGGAUCUCUGGGCCGAUACUGACGCUGAGGAGCGAAAGCGUGGGGAGCGAACAGGAUUAGAUACCCUGGUAGUCCACGCCGUAAAC